AUUAAGUUAGUUUAAGUGUAAAAUUUCAGGUUGUGGUUCUGGAGAUAAAAAUAUUUUACUUAAUA
rnacentral:tRNA from 1 species